UACGAAGGGGGCGAGCGUUGUUCGGAUUUACUGGGCGUAAAGGGCGCGCAGGCGGCCGCAUUUGUCAGGCGUGAAAGCCCAGAGCUCAACUCUGGAACUGCCUUUGAGACUGAGAGGCUUGAGUACGGGAGAGGUGAGUGGAAUUCCCAGUGUAGAGGUGAAAUUCGUAGAUAUUGGGAAGAACACCGGUGGCGAAGGCGGCUCACUGGCCCGAAACUGACGCUCAUGCACGACAGCGUGGGGAUCAAACAGG
rnacentral:rRNA from 1 species